UACGGAGGGUGCAAGCGUUAAUCGGAAUUACUGGGCGUAAAGCGCGCGUAGGUUGUUAGUUAAGCGAGAUGUGAAAGCCCCGGGCUUAACCUGGGAAUUGCGUUUCGAACUGGCUGACUAGAGUACGGUAGAGGGUGGUGGAAUUUCAGGUGUAGCGGUGAAAUGCGUAGAGAUCUGAAGGAACAUCAGUGGCGAAGGCGACCACCUGGACUGAUACUGACACUGAGGUGCGAAAGCGUGGGGAGCAAACAGG
rnacentral:rRNA from 1 species